UACGUAGGUGACAAGCGUUGUCCGGAUUUACUGGGCGUAAAGAGCGCGCAGGCGGUCGUUCAAGUCGAGUGUGAAAGCCCCCGGCUCAACUGGGGAGGGUCAUUCGAUACUGAUCGACUCGAAGGCAGGAGAGGGAAGUGGAAUUCCCGGUGUAGUGGUGAAAUGCGUAGAUAUCGGGAGGAACACCAGUGGCGAAGGCGACUUCCUGGCCUGUUCUUGACGCUGAGGCGCGAAAGCUAGGGGAGCAAACGGGGAUUAAGAAACCC
rnacentral:rRNA from 1 species